rnacentral:rRNA from 1 species
UACGAAGGGUGCAAGCGUUACUCGGAAUUACUGGGCGUAAAGCGUGCGUAGGUGGUUUGUUAAGUCUGAUGUGAAAGCCCUGGGCUCAACCCUGGAACUGCCUUUGAAACUGUUGGGCUUGAGUACGGGAGAGGUGAGUGGAAUUCCGAGUGUAGAGGUGAAAUUCGUAGAUAUUCGGAAGAACACCAGUGGCGAAGGCGGCUCACUGGACCGUAACUGACGCUCAUGCACGAUAGCGUGGGGAGCAAACAGG